CCGGGAAGCGUUCGGGAGAAAAGUGUGUGGCCGCACUAGUGGAGAUCCCCGCCGACAGGACCCGCCUCUCUCCCCAGGCCCGGCGGGGCCGACCCCGCUUCUCGCUCCCAGCAUACCGUGCGAUAGCGGCGGCGCGGCCAGCGGAGCCGGGAGGCGGGUUAGCAGUGGCCUUGUGAGCGUGAGGAGCUGCCGCCACCGCCUGCUCCUCGUCGUCCUCGUCCUCCGCGGCCCCGGCGACGUGGGCCGCGCACGGCCCUGGAAGAGACGUCGCCUCCCCUUCAUCCACCUCUCUCUCACCGCGCCGCUCCCGCCUCCUCGUCCUGUGCUGCGGGCUCAGGCGGAACCCGGAACGGUCGUCCUCUUCCCCCGCCCGCCGCCGCCUCCUCCUUCUCCUCCUUCUCGGCUUCCUCCUCAGCCCCGGGCCGGAGCGGGGUGUUGGCGGCGGCCGGUUCGGGCGGCGACUCGCGCUUCUCUGGGCGGCGGCGCUUGGCCAUGUCGUGUCGGGGAAGGUAAUGAGCCGCAGAGCCCCGGGGUCUCGGCUGAGCGGCGGCGGCGGCACCAACGGCACCAACUAUUCGCGGAGCUGGAAUGACUGGCAACCCAGGUGGGUGACCGGCCCGGGACCCCGCCCCGACCUCCCGGGCUCCGCCUCGGGCGGGCCGAGGCCUAGGCCCUCCACCC
rnacentral:lncRNA from 10 species